rnacentral:rRNA from 1 species
CAAUAGCGUAUAUUUAAGUUGUUGCAGUUAAAAAGCUCGUAGUUGGAUUUCGGGUGGGACGCAGCGGUCUCGCAUUGCGUUUGUACUGCUGCAGCCCUCCUUCUUGCCGGGGGCGGCCUCUCGGACUUCACUGUCUGGGGGUCAGAAUAGGCGAUGUUACUUUGAGUAAAUUAGAGUGUUCAAAGCAAGCUUACGCUCUGAAUAUAAUAGCAUGGGAUAACACGACAGGACUCUGGCCUAUCGUGUUGGUCUAUAGGACCAGAGUAAUGAUUAAGAGGGACAGUCGGGGGCAUUCGUAUUCCGUUGUCAGAGGUGAAAUUCUUGGAUUUACGGAAGACGAACAUCUGCGAAAGCAUUUGCCAAGGAUGUUUUCAUUGA